rnacentral:rRNA from 1 species
AUUGAACGCUGGCGGCAGGCCUAACACAUGCAAGUCGAGCGAGCGGCGGACGGGUGAGUAAUGUAUGGGGACUGCCCGAUAGAGGGGGAUAACUACUGGAAACGGUGGCUAAUACCGCAUACUAUCGGAUAACCCAUAUGGGAGUAGCUAGUAGGUAAGGUAAUGGCUUACCUAGGCUACGAACCCUAGCUGGUCUGAGAGGAUGAUCAGCCACACUGGGACUGAGACACGGCCCAGACGCCGACGGAGGCAGCAGUGGGGAAUAUUGCACAAUGGGCGAAAGCCUGAUGCAGCCAUGCCGCGUGUAUGAAGAAGGCUUUAGGGUUGUAAAGUACUUUCAGUCGGGAGGCGUUACCUACAGAAGAAGCACCGGCUAACUCCGUGCCAGCAGCCGCGGUAAUAC